CCUACGGGAGGCUGCAGUGGGGAAUAUUGCACAAUGGGGGAAACCCUGAUGCAGCGACGCCGCGUGAAGGAAGAAGGUUUUCGGAUCGUAAACUUCUAUCAGCAGGGAAGAAGAAAGUGACAGUACCUGACUAAGAAGCCCCGGCUAACUACGUGCCAGAGGCCGCGGUAAUACGUAGGGGGCAAGCGUUAUCCGGAAUCACGGGGUGUAAAGGGUGCGUAGGCGGUAGGGCAAGUUAGAUGUGAAAGCCCGGGGCUCCACCCCGGGAUUGCAUUUGGAACUGUCUUACUAGAGUGCAGGAGAGGAAAGCGGAAUGCCUGGUGUAGCGGUGAAAGGCAUAGAAAAUAGGAAGAACACCAGUGGCGAAGGCGGCUCUCUGGACAGCAACUGACGCUGAGGCACGAAAGCGUGGGGAGCGAACAGGAUUAGAUACCCGUGUAGUC
rnacentral:rRNA from 1 species